rnacentral:rRNA from 1 species
GACGAACGCUGGCGGCGUGCUUAACACAUGCAAGUCGAACGAAAAGGCCCGGCUUUUGUGGGGUGGUCGAGUGGCGAACGGGGGAGUAACACGUGAGUAACCUGUCCUUGACUGUGGGAGAUCUUCAUGGAACUGGGGCUCAUACCGGAUAUGAUCUAUUGCUGCAUGGUGGGGGUUGGUGAGUUUCGGCGGUUGGGUAUGUAAUCGCGGCUUAUCAGCUUGUUGGUUGGGUAGUGGCUUACCAAGGCUUUGACGGGUAGCCGGCCUGAGAGGGUUGACGGACACAUUGCGACUGAGAUACGGCCCAGACUCGAAUGGGAGGCAGCGGUGGAGAAUAUUGCACAAUGGGCGGAAGCCAGAUGCAGCAACGCAGCGUGCGGGAUGACGGGAUUCGGGUUGUAAACCGAUUUCGAAUGUGCCGAAGCGUGAGUGACGGUACCGGGUAAAGAAGCACCGGCUAACUACGUG